rnacentral:misc_RNA from 1 species
AAGUCGUAACAAGGUUUCCGUAGGUGAACCUGCGGAAGGAUCAUUAUCACAAAUGAUUUUAACUCUCUUAAUCCAGAGUUAACCUCUUCUUAAACCAAUCUAACAAAAUGUGAAAUCGUUUUAUAUGUAUAUAUAUUUUUAUAUUCUCGCAAGAGAAUAUAUAUAUAUGUAUAUAUAUUAUUAACCAAUUGAACCUUUUUCUAUAUUGUUAUUUUAAUUAAAUUUAGUACUGAACUAUAUAUAUUGUUAUUCAAUACAAUAUUAUAAUACAUUACGAAACAAUUUAAAUAAAACAACUCUUAGCAACGGAUAUCUUGGUUCUC